rnacentral:rRNA from 1 species
CCUACGGGUGGCAGCAGUGAGGAAUAUUGGUCAAUGGGCUUACGCCUGAACCAGCCAAGUCGCGUGAGGGAAGACUGCCCUAUGGGUUGUAAACCUCUUUUGUCAGGGAGCAAUUGGCGCGACGUGUAGCGUUAUCGAGAGUACCUGAAGAAAAAGCAGCGGCUAACUCCGUGCCAGCAGCCGCGGUAAUACGGAGGAUGCGAGCGUGAACCGGAUUUAUGGGGUGUAAGGGGAGCGUCAGCGGUGAGGCAAGGCAGAAGUGAAAGCCCGCAGCUCAACUGCGGGACUGCUUGUGAAACUGUAUGACUAGAGUGCAGGAGAGGUAGGUGGAAUUCCUAGGGGAGCGGUGAAAUGCGUAGAUAUUAGGAGGAAAACCAGUGGCGAAGGCGGCCUACUGGACUGUAAAUGACGCUGAGGCUCGAAAGCGUGGGGAGCAAACAGGAUUAGAUACCCCAGUAGUC